rnacentral:rRNA from 1 species
UACGGAGGGUGCAAGCGUUAUCCGGAUUCACUGGGUUUAAAGGGAGCGUAGGCGGAACGAUAAGUCAGUGGUGAAAGCCCCGAGCUCAACUUGGGAAUUGCCAUUGAUACUGUUGUUCUUUGAGUUCGGUUGAGGUAGGCGGAAUGUUGCAUGUAGCGGUGAAAUGCUUAGAUAUGCAACAGAACACCGAUUGCGAAGGCAGCUUACCAAGCCGAUACUGACGCUGAGGCUCGAAAGCGUGGGGAGCAAACAGG